rnacentral:rRNA from 1 species
AUUGAACGCUGGCGGCAGGCCUAACACAUGCAAGUCGAACGAGUGGCGGACGGGUGAGUAAUGUCUGGGAACCUGCCUGAUGGAGGGGGAUAACUACUGGAAACGGUAGCUAAUACCGCAUACCAUCAGAUGGGCCCAGAUGGGAUUAGCUAGUUGGUGGGGUAACGGCUCACCAAGGCGACGAUCCCUAGCUGGGCUGAGAGGAUGACCGGCCACACUGGAACUGAGACACGGCCCAGACUCCUACGGGAGGCAGCAGUGGGGAAUAUUGCACAAGGGGCGCAAGCCUGAUGGAGCCAUGCCGCGUGAAUGAAGAAGGCCUUCGGGUUGUAAAGUACUUUUAGUGGGGAGGCGGUACCCGCACAGGAAGCCCCGGCUAACUCCGUGCCAGCAGCCGCGGUAAUUC